rnacentral:rRNA from 1 species
GCAGUAGCCGCGGUAAAACGAAGGGGGCUAGCGUUGUUCGGAUUUACUGGGCGUAAAGCGCACGUAGGCGGACUUUUAAGUCAGGGGUGAAAUCCCGGGGCUCAACCCCGGAACUGCCUUUGAUACUGGAAGUCUUGAGUAUGGUAGAGGUGAGUGGAAUUCCGAGUGUAGAGGUGAAAUUCGUAGAUAUUCGGAGGAACACCAGUGGCGAAGGCGGCUCACUGGACCAUUACUGACGCUGAGGUGCGAAAGCGUGGGGAGCAAACAGGAUUAGAUACCCCCGUAGUCCCUGUCUCUUAUAA